rnacentral:rRNA from 1 species
GUGCCAGCAGCCGCGGUAAUACGGAGGAUGCAAGCGUUAUCCGGAAUUAUUGGGUUUAAAGGGUGCGUAGGCGGACUAGUAAGUCAGUGGUGAAAUUCUCGGGCUCAACCUGGGACCUGCCAUUGAUACUGCUGGUCUUGAGUGUAGUUGAUGUUGGCGGAAUGUGUCAUGUAGCGGUGAAAUGCAUAGAUAUGACACAGAACACCGAUAGCGAAGGCAGCUGACAAAACUAUAACUGACGCUGAGGCACGAAAGCGUGGGGAUCAAACAGGAUUAGAUACCCUGGUAGUCCACGCCGUAAACGAUGAUCACUAGCUGUAUGCGAUACACUGUAUGUGGCUAAGGGAAACCGAUAAGUGAUCCACCUGGGGAGUACGUCCGCAAGGAUGAAACUCAAAGGAAUUGACGGGGGCCCGCACAAGCGGAGGAGCAUGUGGUUUAAUUCGAUGAUACGCGAGGAACCUUACCUGGGCUUGAACGUAUGGUGCAUGGGUGUGAAAGCAUCCUUUCCAGCAAUGGACUUCAUACGAGGUGCUGCAUGGUUGUCGUCAGCUCGUGCCGUGAGGUGUUAGGUUAAGUCCUGCAACGAGCGCAACCCCUGUUUUUAGUUGCCAUCAGGUUAAGCUGGGCACUCUAGAGAGACUGCCUGCGCAAGCAGAGAGGAAGGUGGGGAUGACGUCAAAUCAGCACGGCCCUUACGUCCAGGGCUACACACGUGCUACAAUGGCCGGUACAGAGGGCAGCUACUUAGCGAUAAGAUGCGAAUCUCCAAAGCCGGUCUUAGUUCGGAUCGGAGUCUGCAACUCGACUCCGUGAAGCUGGAUUCGCUAGUAAUCGUAUAUCAGCCAUGAUACGGUGAAUACGUUCCCGGGCCUUGUACACACCGCCCGUCACACC